UGGGGAAUAUUGGGCAAUGGGCGAAAGCCUGACCCAGCAACGCCGCGUGAAGGAAGAAGGCCUUCGGGUUGUAAACUUCUUUUAUCAGGGACGAAGGAAGUGACGGUACCUGAUGAAUAAGCCACGGCUAACUACGUGCCAGCAGCCGCGGUAAUACGUAGGGGGCAAGCGUUAUCCGGAUUUACUGGGUGUAAAGGGAGCGUAGGCGGUUUGGCAAGUCAGAAGUGAAAGCCCAAGGCUUAACCAUGGGACUGCUUUUGAAACUGUCAGACUGGAUUGCAGGAGAGGUAAGUGGAAUUCCUGGUGUAGCGGUGAAAUGCGUAGAUAUCAGGAGGAACACCGGUGGCGAAGGCGGCUUACUGGACUGUAAAUGACGCUGAGGCUCGAAAGCGUGGGGA
rnacentral:rRNA from 1 species